rnacentral:rRNA from 1 species
AGUGAACGCUGGCGGCAUGCCUAACACAUGCAAGUCGAACGGCAGCACAGCAGUAGCAAUACUGUGGGUGGCGAGUGGCGGACGGGUGAGGAACACAUCGGAAUUUGCCCAGUCGUGGGGGAUAACGUAGGGAAACUUACGCUAAUACCGCAUACGACCUAACGGUGAAAGCGGGGGAUCGCAAGACCUCGCGCGGAUGGAUAAGCCGAUGUCGGAUUAGCUAGUUGGCGGGGUAAAGGCCCACCAAGGCGACGAUCCGUAGCUGGUCUGAGAGGAUGAUCAGCCACACUGGAACUGAGACACGGUCCAGACUCCUACGGGAGGCAGCAGUAGGGAAUAUUGGACAAUGGGCGCAAGCCUGAUCCAGCCAUGCCGCGUGAGUGAAGAAGGCCCUCGGGUUGUAAAGCUCUUUUGUCCGGAAAGAAAAGCGCCGGGUUAAUACCCUGGUGUCCUGACGGUACCGGAAGAAUAAGCACCGGCUAACUUCGUGCCAGCAGCCG